rnacentral:rRNA from 1 species
CGAGGGGCAAGCGUUGUUCGGAAUUAUUGGGGCGUAAAGGGUGCGUAGGCGGUUUGACAAGUCUUAUGUGAAAUCUCUGGGCUCAACCCAGAGUCUGCAUGGGAAACUGUCGGGCUUGAGUAUGGGAGAGGUGAGUGGAAUUUCCGGUGUAGCGGUGAAAUGCGUAGAUAUCGGAAGGAACACCUGUGGCGAAAGCGGCUCACUGGACCAUAACUGACGCUGAUGCACGAAAGCUAGGGGGAGCAAACAGGAUU